AGCAGCCGCGGUAAUUCCAGCUCCAAUAGCGUAUAUUAAAGUUGUUGCAGUUAAAAAGCUCGUAGUUGAAUUUCGGAAUCUGUCCAUUGGUCGGGCUUCACUGUCCGUACUGGUGUGGUGGGUUCUUACCUUCUGAAUAACCAGCAUGCCAUUCAUUUGGUGCGUUGGGGAAGCAGGACUAUUACCUUGAAAAAUUAGAGUGCUCAAAGCAGGCUAGUGCCUGAAUACAUUAGCAUGGAAUAAUAAAAUAGGACGGCAUGGUUCUAUUUUGUUGGUUUCUAGGAUCACCGUAAUGAUUAAUAGGGAUAGUUGGGGGCAUUAGCAUUCAAUUGUCAGAGGUGAAAUUCUUGGAUUUAUUGAAGACUAACUUCUGCGAAAGCAUUUGCCAAGGAUGUUUUCAUUAAUCAAGAACGAAAGUUAGGGGAUCGAAGACGAUCAGAUACCGUCGUAGUCUUAACCAUAAACUAUGCCGACUAGGGAUCGGACGAUGUUAAUUUUUAAUGUACUCGUU
rnacentral:rRNA from 1 species